rnacentral:misc_RNA from 1 species
AGUUCAGUCUUCCCAGGCCCACCACUUUCAUCGAGUGAGCAUUCGUCUUCUGGUUACGGGGCCAUAGCUCAGCUGGGAGAGCGCGUGCUUUGCAAGCAUGAGGUCGUCGGUUCGAUCCCGUCUGGCUCCACCAGAUGGUUUGAUCACCAACGGCGUAACCGUCGUCCGCGAAACAUCACUUCGCACUCAUUGGUCCGGAUGGACGGUGACGUGCGUGUUUUCUGACAUCGUAAAGAGGAGAUCGAUCCGAGUUUGGAUCAAGCGAAGCAAUUCGCCUGAGCCAUUCACUAUCUCCGGGAUCAUUUCGGCGCUCGCUUUCAGUCGUGAGAUUGAAUGCGGGUUGUAAAUGAUCUCUGUUAGCGAAGCUUGACCGCCUCGCUAUCGGGCCGAUCUUACGAAGCAAGCUGGUCUUUCUAGUCAAUGUCCGGCUGCGCAAUCGCAUUCAUCGAGGAUGCGCGCCUGAGACUUCGGUCUUUGGGCAGUUGUGCAGACAACAUUCUGCCGAGUGUGUGGACAUUGAUAAUGAGAGCAAUCAAGUGCCUUAAGGGUGUUCGGUGGAUGCCUUGGCGCUGAGAGGCGAUGAAGGACGUGCUACGCUGCGAUAAGCCGUGGGGAGCUGCGAAGAAGCUUUGAUCCGCGGAUUUCCGAUGG